UGGGGAAUUUUGGACAAUGGGCGAAAGCCUGAUCCAGCAAUGCCGCGUGUGUGAAGAAGGCCUUCGGGUUGUAAAGCACUUUUGUCCGGAAAGAAAUCCUUGGCUCUAAUACAGUCGGGGGAUGACGGUACCGGAAGAAUAAGCACCGGCUAACUACGUGCCAGCAGCCGCGGUAAUACGUAGGGUGCAAGCGUUAAUCGGAAUUACUGGGCGUAAAGCGUGCGCAGGCGGUUUGCUAAGACCGAUGUGAAAUCCCCGGGCUCAACCUGGGAACUGCAUUGGUGACUGGCAGGCUAGAGUAUGGCAGAGGGGGGUAGAAUUCCACGUGUAGCAGUGAAAUGCGUAGAGAUGUGGAGGAAUACCGAUGGCGAAGGCAGCCCCCUGGGCCAAAUACUGACGCUCAUGCACGAAAGCGUGGGGAGCAAACAGGAUUAGAUACCCUGGUAGUCCACGCCCUAAACGAUGUCAACUAGUUGUUGGGGAUUCAUUUCCUUAGUAACGUAGCUAACGCGUGAAGUUGACCGCCUGGGGAGUACGGUCGCAAGAUUAAAACUCAAAUGAAUUGACGGGGUCAUAGCUG
rnacentral:rRNA from 1 species